AUUGAACGCUGGCGGAAUGCUUUACACAUGCAAGUCGAACGGUAGAGGGGGCAACCCCUUGAGAGUGGCGAACGGGUGAGUAAUAUAUCGGAACGUACCCUAGAGUGGGGAUAACGCAGCGAAAGUUGCGCUAAUACCGCAUACGAUCUACGGAUGAAAGUGGGGGAUCGCAAGACCUCAUGCUCAUGGAGCGGCCGAUAUCUGAUUAGCUAGUUGGUGGGGUAAAGGCCUACCAAGGCAUCGAUCAGUAGCUGGUCUGAGAGGACGACCAGCCACACUGGGACUGAGACACGGCCCAAACUCCUACGGGAGGCAGCAGUGGGGAAUUUUGGGACAAUGGGCGCAAGCCUGAUCCAGCCAUUCCGCGUGCAGGAUGAAGGCCCUCGGGUUGUAAACUGCUUUGUACGGAACGAAAAGGUUUCUCUUAAUACGAGGAGCUCAUGACGGUACCGUAACGAAUAAGACACCGGCUAACUACGUGCCAGCAGCCGCGGUAAAG
rnacentral:rRNA from 1 species